ACUCCUACGGGAGGCAUCAGUGGGGAAUAUUGCACAAUGGGGGAAACCCUGAUGCAGCCAUGCCGCGUGUGUGAAGAAGGCCUUCGGGUUGUAAAGCACUUUCAGUAGGGAGGAAGGUAGUGUAGUUAACACCUGCAUUAUUUGACGUUACCUACAGAAGAAGCACCGGCUAACUCCGUGCCAGCAGCCGCGGUAAUACGGAGGGUGCGAGCGUUAAUCGGAAUUACUGGGCGUAAAGCGCAUGCAGGCGGCCUGUUAAGUCAGAUGUGAAAGCCCGGGGCUUAACCUCGGAAUUGCAUUUGAAACUGGCAGGCUAGAGUCUUGUAGAGGGGUUAGAAUUUCAGGUGUAGCGGUGAAAUGCGUAGAGAUCUGAAGGAAUACCAGUGGCGAAGCGGCCCCUGGACAAAGACUGACGCUCAGAUGCGAAAGCGUGGGAGCAAACAGGAUUAGAUACCCCUGGUAGACUGUCA
rnacentral:rRNA from 1 species